CUCAAUUUAUUUUUGUUUUGUUUUUUUGUUUUUAAUUGUUUUAUUCUAUUUUCCUUUAUUAAUUCAAUUUUCUUUACUUCACAAUUCUGAUUUUAUUUUUAACUCUUGAUUUUAUCAUUUUCGUUAGAAAAAUUUAUUUCCUAAUUUUCUAUUUUUAUUUUGAAAUAUUAUUUUUCAUUUUUAUUAAUAGAAUAAUUAGG
rnacentral:lncRNA from 1 species